GAUGAACGCUGGCGGCGUGCCUAAUACAUGCAAGUCGAGCGAAUGGAUUAAGAGCUUGCUCUUAUGAAGUUAGCGGCGGACGGGUGAGUAACACGUGGGUAACCUGCCCAUAAGACUGGGAUAACUCCGGGAAACCGGGGCUAAUACCGGAUAACAUUUUGAACCGCAUGGUUCGAAAUUGAAAGGCGGCUUCGGCUGUCACUUAUGGAUGAACCCGCGUCGCAUUAGCUAGUUGGUGAGGUAACGGCUCACCAAGGCAACGAUGCGUAGCCGACCUGAGAGGGUGAUCGGCCACACUGGGACUGAGACACGGCCCAGAAUCCUACGGGAGGUAGCAGUAGGGAAUCUUCCGCAAUGGACGAAAGUCUGACGGAGCAACGCCGCGUGAGUGAUGAAGGCUUUCGGGUCGUAAAACUCUGUUGUUAGGGAAGAACAAGUGCUAGUUGAAUAAGCUGGCACCUUGACGGUACCUAACCAGAAAGCCACGGCUAACUACGUGCCAGCCGCCGCGGUAA
rnacentral:rRNA from 1 species